rnacentral:tRNA from 1 species
AUAAAGUAAGCUAAGCUAAGCUAGUGGGCUCAUACCCCAAAAAUGAAUUUAAUAUUCCUUUAUU